AUAUAAUGGUUGCUCGGAAAGUGUGAUUCCACCACUCCAACCAUCCUUCAACUCAACCUCCCCAGUUGAAGAACUUUGCAAGGUGAGAGGCUGAAGACAUUCUUGGGUAACCAGAAGAUGGGACUCUUCAUGCACAUCACCUUCUGUUGCCUUGGAGUUUUGAUCACCAAUUAUUUUUUGGGAGUCAAGGCUGAGACAUGCCCCACAGACUGGUUAAAGAAACAGAGAACCUGCUAUGGAUAUUUUAAUGAAAAAUUGAAUUGGCAUGAA